UGAGAAAAGUUUAUGUCAGAUGUAGAUGUUGAUGUCAAAAUGUAUACAGCUUCGGGGUCCGAAGCUAGAGGGAUGUUGGGAGAGUUGUCAUGUUGUAAAAAUGCGUGAAAUUGUGCAUUCUAGCAUUUUCAUCUUUUUAUGUCGUGUUUGGUAUCAAAAGUCAUUAUUUCUUAUGAGUAAUUAAGUUUCAAUGUUUUUAUUACGGAAGGAGUGCAUUUUGUUAGGGAAACAAGGUUUUGAACUAUUUUUCAAAUAUUUUCAUAAAAGACAUUUAUAAGCCGUUUUAGCGUUACAUGGAAAUAUUUAUGGAUUAAGAUUAAGAUUAUGUCGUGAGAAUACUUUUUGACAACAAUGGUCAUCAAUGUAAUUUAUUUGUCAACACCCGAACUUUAUAUAGAGUGAAUAAUGUCAAUUAACACUAAUUCUUAAUUUAAUCUGCUUUUGAUAUAUUUCAUUGUUUGGAAACUAUUUGUUUAGAAGUACCUUUUUCUAUUUUCAUUGGUCAAAACGCUUCUAUGAUCAUGUUUUAUAAAGGUUAAUUUUGAAACCAAAGAGAAGAGAGAAAAAAAAAAAAGAGAACCAUGUGACGCAUCGGUUCGCCCCGCUCUCGAUCUGCGAGUAGCGGCGGGUUAAUGUAUGUUGCCAUGAUUACUGUUUUGUAAAUAUGCUUUAUGAACUGUGAUUGUAUAUAUGUUGGAUGGAAAAAUAAAGUAUGUGAACGUUCAUGUA